rnacentral:rRNA from 1 species
GACGAACGCUGGCGGCGUGCUUAACACAUGCAAGUCGAACGGAAAGGCCCUGCUUUUGUGGGGUGCUCGAGUGGCGAACGGGUGAGUGACACGUGAGUAACCUGCCCUUGACUUUGGGAUACCUUCAGGAGACUCGAGCUCAUACCGCAUAUGAGCUCCUUCUACAUGGUUGGUAUUGGUAAAUUUCGGCGGUUGGGGAUGGACUCGCGGCUUAUCAUCUUGUUGGUGGGGUAGUGGCUUACCAAGGCGUUGACGGGUAGCCGGCCUGAGAGGGUGACCGGCCACAGAGGGACUGAGAUAGGGGCCAGAGGCCUACGGGAGGCAGCAGUGGGGAAUAGAGCACAAUGGGCGGAGGCAGGAUGGAGCAACGCCGCGUGCGGGAUGACGGCCGGCGGGUUGGAAAGCGCGUGCGCCUGGGACGAAGCGUGAGUGACGGUAAUGGGUAAAGAAGCACCGGCUAACUACGUG